GCAGACGGCGGAGAGCUGGGAUGGAGCGCGCCUUGGCCCGCUGGCCUUGGCUGCAGCUCCUCGGGAGAGCCGGGGCGCCCACGCGAGAACCUCCCUACCUGAGGACGCUGGGAACACGGAUUCCUGGAUCCCACCAGCCUACGAAGAAAGCCACGGGCGGCGACCCCUGGGACCAGGACGACCAAGGAGGAGGACGACCAGAACUGACCAGCCAGCCCCCUUGGCUAAAGGCUUAGACCUGUGCCCUAGUGAGGGGGCAUUGGUCGCCAACCCCUGACCUUUGCUAUGCUUCUGCCUUGUUGCUCUGAUACUUGCCUCUAUGUCUCUGCCUGUGUUAACCUGCCAGCGCCCUGGAGGGUUGCCAUCCCCAGGGAGGUGUCAGUCUUUCUCGCUCCACUUGUUGUCGCCCGAAUGACGUCCUGAACGGAAGGGUCCCUUUGGGAACGUCUCGGGAGGCCGACCUGGGCCAAGGGCACAACCAGCAUCUCACUGGCAAUUCCAAGGCCCUGGGUGGGCUUCUGGAAUGAGCAUGAGCCCCGACGUCAUGCCACGGAACUGCCAGGGGCACCCCCCCUCCUUUGAGCUCUCCCUGUCCCUCCUGGGGGGACAGGGACGAGAAGAGCAGUCUCCCAGGGGGUUGUGAGUAUUGAAUGAGAUGAAGUCGCCUCGGGCAGGGCCAGGCAUAGAGGAGGCAGUCGGCAAAUGUUUGUUGAUAAAGUUUGGCCGAUCAGUCCAGCCCCGGCCCGCUCCCGUGUCUCACCGUCUCAUUUAUUCUCCCACAGCACUCCGGAUGGCCCCUGGCCACGGGGCUCUGCCCGCACCAGCCAAGCUUCUCGAAAGGUCUGUCUUCACUCGCUGGCUUCCUUGCUCACCUCCAAUGUCCUCUCCAACCCACUGCUUCUUGACCUCUGCGCCGUCGAGCAGCUCUCGCGAAGGUCUCCUUCUGGAGUUGGGAAAGCCAAGCUGCAGGUCGGCCUGUCCUCGACACACUGGCAGCGAGCGUCGGCUGAAGAACCGGAUGGAAGAGGCGGGAGAGUCACCACGGACCGGCGUUCCUUCAGGUCGGUCGCCUGGCGUCUUCGGGCUGCGACUCCUUCCUGGAUCGGGCUGAAGCCAUCAUCUGUGUCCUCCGUCGGAAGGGACCUCAGACAUGUGGCUCCUGCACCCUCCAGCUCUGAAAUCGGCAGGCUAGGAUGCAAGUGGCCUUGCUGGGGGGCCCUUCCAAGGGCCGAGGGACCAGCCUCUCGAACGGGCUCGGCGCUCCAGUGACCUUCGCGUCCCCCUCCUCCUUGAAUUGUCUGGAAAACAGAAUGGACAGAUUUUCUGUCUUCAAAGUUUCCGGCUAAACCUCUUCAAAGUUCUUUAUUGUUUGGGACUGAGACACUCAGCAGUGCUAAUGGGUAGUUCCUUUUGUAUUUGCCCUGAAAGGCCAAAAUAUUUUUAUAUCGCUCCAG
rnacentral:lncRNA from 1 species